AUGGGCAAGCAGGGAGAAGAAGCUCGGCAGAAAUGGAUUGAUAUUCAACUUCAUACAUUUACCAAUUGGAUUAAUGAGCAGCUUCAAGGAAAUGUGAUACGAGACUUAACACAAGACUUAUCGGAUGGAGUUAAUCUUAUCAAACUGGUGGAAAUUCUCCAAGGAAGGCGGUACUAUGGAAAAGUAUACGAUCAAGACCCUACAGAAAUUCAGAAGUUGAUGAAUGUCCAGAUGGCUCUGGAUGCUCUUCGCGAAGAUGGGGUAAAAACUGUGAAUAUUGGAAGUCAUGAUAUUGUUGAUGGAAAUGAAAAGUUAAUAUUAGGCCUUAUUUGGUGCCUUGUACAACGCUAUCAGAUUGCUUGCAAAACAAAAAUCCCGCCGAAGAAACUCGUCAUGGCAUGGAUUCAGAGCGCUUUACCCGAAUUGAAACUUACAAACUUCCGAACCAAUUGGAACGACGGCAUAGCAUUAAGUGCUCUUUUAGAAUAUUGUCAACCGGGUUUGUGCCCAGAAUGGAGGAACCUCGAUCCAUCGGAGGCUCGUGAAAACUGUCAUAGAGCUCUGUUACUGGCUGAGAGAUAUCUAGAAGUUCCACCAAUUAUCUCUUCCGAUCAUUUGUCUUCUCCUCAUCUCGACGAACUUUCAUGUUUAACCUACCUUUCAUAUUUUAUUACAAAGGGUGCCCCCGGAUAUCGAGCAACACUGAAAAAAGUGUCCAUGCUACUUCCUGAUUGCAAUGUGGACGAUCUGGAACAUUCCUGGAGUGACGGUUUUCUCCUUGCACAUCUUGUCGAAAUUUGUGGAGGCAGAGUCCCUGAACUCGAACGAAUGCGAUUUGACAAUUUGAACGAUUUCGUUGAAAAUGUGGCAAUAGUUCUCGACGCAGCUGCUGACAUCGGUGUUGGGUCACUGAUUGGUGCCGACGAUAUUGCUGAACCACAAGGGGAACAUUUGGGCACCAUGGCACUUGUUGCAGCACUUUGUUCUGUAUCACUUGAGCAACAAGUAAAAUAUACCGACUGUUAUGUCAAUCAACAGGUCAAUCUGGAUUUGGCUUUUACGGAAGGGAACGAAGUGAGAAUUGAAGAGCUAGAUGUUCAAGUUGUUGGAGGCAAUGGUCAACUUUAUUCAAAUGAGGCAAUAAAACUGAGAAAAAGUCGAACUGUUCAAGGAGCAAAUUUGUCUUUGAUGCCCGUGGAGCCAGGAUUUUUGCAAAAUAGAACCAGCUUCACGCUUGAUUUUAAACUUUUGUUUCCAAAAACGAAAGCCUUACCCAUGUCUAUAUUGAGUUCCAGAAUUGAAAACAGCGGAUAUGAAAGCAUUCGCGAAAAAAUGCAGUCCAGAUUUUAUCACACCGUUCGAAUCUACUGCCAGGGCUCCGAACUACCAGCGAGCCCUAUAUCCCUUCAAGUGCACACUCAGGAAGAAACACGCAGCUCCUCGCGUGCGGCUUCUCGAGCUCAUCCCGAAAAUCGAAAUCCGCCUGCAUCAACUUCAAAGUAUAUUGAGCGAACCAUAGUUUCACCUGUUUCAGAUUCUCGGGAAUCUGGGAAAAUCGCGCAGUUCUCCACAGAAACUGAGGUGGACAUUUCGCACAAAUCAUUCGCGCAGAGACGUCUUCACAUUAUCAAGCAGCUCGAAGCGCAGCACGUCAAUCAUAUAGCGCAGACAAAAUCGCAUCACCAACAACAUACCCAGCAACAACAACAUCAUCAGACUGUCCCCACGCAGUCUUCAUCAAUAGUUCAAGUUGUGCAGCCGAUACCACCGCCGCCACCUACACUAGCUCAGAGCAGUUCAAAUAUUCCACCACCACCUCCAAUUCCAGCUGUCCUUGAAGCUUCUGCAUACAGAGAAAUGCCACUGACCAGGUCGCCCGAUGUUGGUCUCGUUUCGUUUUCAGGACUCACAGAACCUUGCUCAGUUGGAUCAAUUGUAGAAGUUGUGAUAAAUGCGCACGGAGAUGCUGUAUCUGGUUCAGUGUAUGUUGAAGCAGUUUCUCCAUCAGGAAAUGUGCACAGGUGCACGGUCCGCCAUCAGGACAACUCUUACAUGGCAACGUUCACCCCUCAAGAAGUCGGACUUUGGAGAAUUGGCAUCCUGUACGACGGCGAACACAUCCGAGGAAGCCCCUUCGCAUGCCAGGUUUAUCAUUUAGACAGGCGAUCAUUGAUAACGAGGCGCCAAGUGUUCGAUUCUGGUCUGGUUAAUGUUUACGGUCUGGAUGUCGGAUUAGUUGGACAGGAAUUGAAUUUUUCUGUAAAUGCUUCCCAAGCAGGACAUGGAAAUCUCAGUGUAACGGUUUUCCGUCACGGUCGUGAGAUUCCAUUGUCAAUCGAAGAGCAGGGUAGUUCUAAGGUACAUCAAGUUUCAUUCACUCCGGACGGCGCUGGUCAAUACAAAAUCCACGUUCUUUUUAACAGAAUGGAAAUUAAAGGAUCUCCAUUCAUUUUGGACAUUGCCGAUGCUUCGUCUGUAUCCGUAUACGGGGAGAACUUGAGAUCAGCAUCCGUUGGCAAAACUGCAUCAUUUAUGGUUCAUGCGAUCGGAGCAGAGGCAAAAGACAUUAGUGCUCAUGUGACAGGUAGAUUACUGUUCCCUCACUAAUUUUAUGUUACAUGCCAAAAAAACUAACAACAUUGAAUCCACGUUUCCCACUUUUCCUGAUAACUUUAAAAAUAUCGCAUGCAUUUUUCAUCCCUAAAUUUUAAGUAUUAAAAAAUUAAAACGAAAAAUGGAAAAUGAAAAAGUUCGUGUCGUCAAUGUUUUGUCCAAGUCUCCUGUUCAACUUCAUAAGUUCAAUGUGUUGUCUUCUCGUCGAUGUGUUUUUCAGUUAAACGGCGGGUACGUUAUUUAUAUUUUGACACUUUCAAUGAGUUGCAAGUUUCAAAUUUUUGAGUUUUAGUCCCAUCGGGAGGCAAGUUUCCUGCAAAGGUUGUCACACUGGACGAUGUCACGUUUCAAAUCGAAUGGACCCCAAAAGAGCCAGGCGAGCACAGUGUGGAUGUGAUGCUGGCGGACCAACGUGUACCCGAUGCUCCAUUUGCUUGCAAUGUCGGUGCUCCGGACCUAGUGCACGUACGAAACAUGCCGCGAAGGAUUCAACCGUCAAAACUUCACACAGAUCACUCCUUUGAAAUUGACGCAUCAGCUGCCGGAUCCGGCAAUCUGGAAAUUAUGAUUAAUGGAGGCCGCGUGCCGUGUCGGGUUCGUGAACUCGGCAGCAGGCAAUACAUGGCAAUUUUCACACCAACUCAGUCCAUGACUCACACAAUUGAAAUGAGGUUUAACGGAGAACACGUCUCGGGAAGUCCAUGGAAACUACCAGUUGAGGAUCGCGGCGAGAGACGACAGGAAAUGGAGAGAACCAUGUCCUACUACUCAGAAUUGUCCGGACCUGGACUGGUACGAGCACCCGUUAAUCGCACUGCACAGUUUGAUAUUACUGGAGAAGGUCUUGAGCUCAGCGAUAUUCAAGCAAAAAUAUCAGGCCCUGACAACAGAGAGUAUCCUAUUAGAAUUAUUCCACGAAGCUCUGGAAAAUACACAGCUGAGUAUGAGAUUGAGCAAGUUGGAGAGCAUCACUUGACAGUUUGGAUCGCAGGCAGAAAAGUCGACGGCUCACCACUUUCUGUUGCUGGAUACGCAACCGAGAAAGUUCGUCUGGAACCGUUGGGUGGUGGAGUGCCGAAACAGCCAGUACAGUUCUAUGUGGAUGCCGUGGAAGCUGGAAAAGGACAACUCGAGAUUUCAGUCAAUCAGGGAAAAGUGCCGAACAAUGUUCAAAUGCAAGGCGCUGGAAGAUGCUUAGUCACAUUCAUCCCGCAACACGCCGGAACUUAUGUUAUUGAUGUUACUUUUAACGGAGAGCAAGUUCAUGGCUGUCCGAUCAAAGUGGAGAUUCUGCCAAAACAAGUAGGUCAGCAAAUUCACGCCAAUUUGACGCCGACCGCUGUUUCAACCGCCAUUUCAGCAGGAGGAACAUCUUUAAUUUCGGGUGCAUUCCGAGAAACCGCAAGAUCUCCAUUGUCGGCUAGAAGCCCAACAUCUCCAACACUUCUUCAACAUGCUCGUCAACGCAGUGAAGAGACAAUGCUCCGAAGCCCACAACUUCUCAGAGAAUCUAGAAAAGCAGAUAAGCCUUGGCAAUCGUCCUACGCACCAUCAUCGUCACGCAACGCCUUCUCUCAAUCACCACAUCGUGAUUGGAGUGCUUCAACUGUCUACGACAGAGUUUAUAACUCGAAUAGUGAUGUAGAGCGCACUCUGUCUCCAAGUGAUCCAUCGAGAAAUCGCAAUAUUCGAGAGACAACAACCGUCAUCCACAGAACUCCGUCGCCAACUGGUUUGAGAUCUACUCAGAUCACUGAGACAAUCACUCGCACAACUCACCGGUCACCGUCACCACCCAGAGGAGUUUCCAACACCUCUUUCGGAAGUGUCAGAACCCAAGAGUUUGCCGAACGUAUUGCCCGCUCUCCAUCCCCAACUGGAUACGAAAGAGAAUUUGUUGAGAAGCGAACAACCUAUAGGUCACCAUCGCCGGCAAGAACAUCAAGUGUGGCUCACUCCCAUAUUAGUGAGGUUCCACUUUCUCCAAUUCAAGGAAUGGAUACUCCGUUUGAUCAUCAUGAACGUGUGAAGAAAGUUGAGAGAAUGGAUCCAUUGGCUGAUGAAGAAGAACGUGAACAGAGAAGAAAUCAGCUUGAAAGAGAUUCUAAAAACACUCUAGGAUACACUGUUGCUCAAUAUGGUGAUGGUGAAAAACGAUAUUUUGGAGACACACUUGAAAAAAAGGAUCGACCACCAUCUGCUGGAUACUACUCAUCUGUUCAGCAAAGAUCAACAUCUCCAGAGUACUCGACAGUUUACGAGCGAUAUGACAGAAAGAGCGAAAAACCAGAUUUGCCGCCAAGAGUUGAAGGUCAUGUCUCUGCAAGCUACAAGGGAUAUGAGCCAGUUUACUCUGAAGUGACAACAACUAGAACCACGACUACUACAGAAUACGAGAACAUUGACAAAAAACCAAAUGUGCCAAAAAAGAGAGCUACUACUCCAGAAGGACACGUUGAGCCAGUAAAUGACAAUGAGGAAAAAGAUAGACAAGCAUUCUUGAGAACUCAAUCUGAAAAAGUAUUCGAGCCAGUUGAUGCUCCACUUCGCCGUUCAGACGAGAAGGAAUCAAUUUAUGAUCUUCCACCUCAAGAAAGACUUCAUAAAUACCCGGAGGAACCAACUAUUGCUCUGGGUGAAAAAGCCAAUACUUCAGCAAUUGCCGCAUACACAAAAGGACGACAGGACGAUAUUGAUGAAGUUUCUCGAAAUGCAUCUUUCCCAUCUGCACCAACAAUUAACUACAAUGAACGUUCAGAUGAAGUUUCCAACUACAACAGGACAAAAGAAGAUCAUUACGGAGUUGUUGGAGAAUACCCAACAGCACCAAAAAUUGCAUACUCUGAUAGCAAGGAAGCAGUCAUUCGUGAGCAUUAUGCACAAGCAAAGGAAGAUCCAUACGCGACUGUGGGAGAAUGUCCGCCAGCUCCAGAAAUUUCAUUGAGAUCAGAUAAAUUGAAUGAGACUAAAAAUGAGUACCGUCGUACAACAGACUCAGAUCAGCAAGAUGGUAAAGCAGGCCCACCACCUCCAGUGAUUGAGAUUAGCAAAGCCGAACAAGCUCGCAGAACAGAAGAGUAUCUACGCGUGAAAUCAGAAGAUGAUAAGAUUCUUGCCAAACACGGCUUCACAAGAAAGCCAGAGCCAUCAAUUGAGAUUCAAGAGCCAGUUACCGAGCAGAUUCGGGACGAUGUAGUUGAAACCGCGAUUGCUCCAGAAGUUCCACUGAGACCUGUUGAAGAACUUCCACACUCUCCAGCUCCAUCCUCUAGAAGUACUCCAGCCACCACACCGAAGUUAUCAGCCAAGUUUAGAAAAGAUGGUAAAGAAGGUAAACCUUUCGACUUUGGAAAAAGCAAAUUUGUUUGCAAACAUGAUGUCAUCAAAAGAGGAAAAGAAGUGGAGGUUAAGCUUGAAGGAAUAAAGUUGGGAAAAGAAGAUCAACUUCGUGUCGUUGUUUUGCCCCCUGCUAAUAAAGCAAUUCCUGGAGCAAAUGGAGGACCACCAACAGAAGUUGAUACCAAAGUGAAAAAGAGCAGCAGCAAAUACGAGAUUAGCUUCAAACCAACAGAAGUUGGAACACACAAGGUGUUUGCCUAUGUAAAUGACAUGCAACAUCCGCUUUCACCAUUCGCUGUCCGUGUCUACGACGCGUCGGAAAUUAUCGUCGGCGAAAUUCCGAAUCAAUCAAAUCUCAAUGACACCGUUGAGUUCACGGUUGACGCCGGUCGCGCUGGUUUCGGAAAUCUCGAGAUGGCUAUUAAGGAUGCUGAUGGUGUCAUCAUUCCUUCUCAUGUUGCACAACUUGAAAGUGGAUCGGCCAAGUUUUUAGUGACUUUCACACCAGCUACAAAAGGGCCUCAUACAGUUAACAUUACUUUCAACAAGGAAGUUCUCAAAAACUCGCCAUUUGAAGUGAACAUUGUUGAUGCUCCACUCCCUGCUCCAGUUGUUCUCGAACCAGCUUCUGGAGCCUCUGCAGUUGCUUCCCCAUCACUGAGCAAAAAAGAGUUGAAGGAACAAGAAAAAGAAAAGAAAAGAGAAGAGAAGGAACGGGCCAAGCGCGAGAAAGAAGAACGCGCCACUCUGAAAAAGGAGAAAAAGAGCAAGUCACAUAGAUUCCCCGCCAAAACUACCGUUUCCAAAAUUCCGUCGCUUUCCAGGGUUGGACAACCGUCCUCCCUUGUAGUUGAGGUAUCCGGUCACGAUCAACUUGAGAUUCGUGUCCUUGAUAGCAAAAAGAGUGAGAUUGGAACGGAUAUUGUAGAAAUUGAGCCAGGACACAUGCAAAUUAAUUUCACACCAGCUCAAGUUGGCGAUCACGAGAUUGAUGUUCGAUAUGGAGGUGUGCCUGUAACAGGAUCACCAUUCACUUGCAGAGCCUACGAUCCAGCUAAGAUUAAAGUCGGAGCAAUUCCAAAGGGCCUUCUGGAUAAACCCGUAUACUUCACAGUUGAUGCAUCUGAAGCUGGUGUUGGAAAUCUUGAAGUUGCUGUCUGCGAAGGACGUGUUCCAUCAAUGGCACACGCUCUUGGACACCACAAGUACGACAUUUCGUUUGUGCCAAAGGAAGACGUUGACCAUACUAUCACUGUUCGAUUUAACAAUGAGCCAGUCCCAGGGUCUCCUUUCUUGUGUCAACUUGUUGCAACUGCGCAAGCAACUGCUACUGGUGCAGGUCUCGAAAGAAUCCCAGUCGACGAAGAAACCGAAAUUCAAAUUCUUACCGACGAGAUCGAUUCGGCUCCAGAAGCACGUGUUCGUGAUCCACAAGGAAACGAUCUACCAGUCAACGUGACUCGCAGCCGUGAAAACGAAACGCUCCACAUCGCCACUUAUGUGCCAAAAUGUGUCGGAAACCACUUGAUUGACAUUUUCCUCCAAGGAGAGCCAAUUGCGGGAUCUCCAUUUACCGCAAAAGCAUAUGACGCUAGAAAAACUGUGUUGGUCCCACCAGCAAAUGCAGUCGUUGGAAAGCCUGCGACAUUUGUCAUCGAUGCUGCCCGCUCUGGUGCUGGAAACAUGGAGAUCAUCGUCUCGGUCGACAACCGAAAUGUUCCAAAUUUCGUUCAAGCUGAAGGACAAGCUCGAUUCAAAGUUUCUUUCACACCACAGGACGCCAAAGAUCACACCAUCAGCGUGAAGUUCAAUGGAAUCAGUGUUCCAGGAUCUCCACUUAUCUGCAGUGUGAGCUCAGCUGGGUCAGUGCCAGCCGCUGUCGUUCUUCCAGCUGCAGCAGUAAUUGGAGCAGAAACUGCAGUUGCUGCUAGAGAGCGUAUCAAGCACACUCCUCAACACUCGUCAGAACAAAUCAAGCAAACAACUACAACGGUUCUCCAAAAGACGCCAGAAAUUAGAGAGACAGUUGAGAAGACUGGAUUGGCCAGAGAAUUGAAUUCUGCUCAAAUCGGACAAAAGAAAGGAUUUACAAUUGAUAAUAUCAACAAAUCUUCAGAUUGCAAUGUCAUUAUCACAGCUCCUGACGGAUCAAUGGUUCCUGUGUCAAUUCAAAAGUCGUCUACAUCUGCUUAUGCUGAAUUCACACCAACAAUAACUGGAGAGCACUUAGUGGAAAUCUAUCUGGAUCAUGAAAUCAUCGAUGAGUUUGUUAUCAAGAUUAAAGACGAAAGACAUAUUCUUCCGCCAGUUUGUCUUGCCGGUCAGAAAUAUUCAUUUGAUGUGAACUCCGAUGACAAAAACAAAGUCCGUGUUACUAUCCGUGAACCUUCUGGAAGAAUGCUCCCAGUACAAAUGGAAGACUUGCCAGACGGCGGAGUACGUGUAUCUUGCCGCUUCAAAGAAGUUGGAAUCCACUCAAUCGACGUUUUUGUUGAUGAUCAGCCGAUUGGAGAGCGCAAAAUGCAAACAGUGAUUGACCCACUUAAUGGAGCACAAUUGGUGUCAGAGCCAAAGCGUGAAAUUGUUGGAGAGCAAACCGAGCUGAAGAUUCUCAUUGAUUCCGGCGUUGAAUCACAGGUCGAAGUUAUAAUUGAAGGACCUGAUAGAGAGGAUAAUGAAGUCUUCGUGAAGAAAGUUUCCGAAACUUUGUGGUCUGCUGUAUGGACACCAAAAGUCGAAGGAGAGCAUGAAUUAUCAAUCUUGGUAGCUGGUGAACAAAUCCCUGGAUCUCCAUUCCCAAUUCACGUGUUAGAUCCAUCAGCUGUGAGAGUUAUUGGACUGAAAAAUGCUCCAGUUGGAGUCGAACAACAGUUCAGCGUGGAUUAUACUAAUAGUGGAGCCUCGAUCGCCAGCGUUGAAGUUAGACAUGGCGACCAGACUAUUCCAAUCACUGUGAAAAAAAUGAAACCCGGACAACUUCUCUGCACAUUUACCCCAUUUGUUGACGGUCCGCAUCAAGUUGAAGUAAUCAUUGAUGGAGUUCCACUGUCAGAUGGUCCAUAUGAAGUAUUCAUCAGCCAUCUCGGCACAGUACGUGCGUCUGGAGAUGCACUGAGAAAAGCCCAGCGAGCGAGAACUGCUCGUUUUGAAGUUAUCAACGUUGAACAAAAUCGUGGCGAACUUGAUGUGAUGGUGUCAGAUCCAAAAGGAGGACCGCUUCCAGUUCGUUGCUACAAACAGCAAGACGACAGUUAUUGGGUAGAAUUCACACCGGAACACCUUGGAACUCACACCAUCGAGGUCACUUUUGGUGAUGUUCCUGUGCCAGGAUCUCCUUUCAAGACUGAAGUUAUCGACCCAAAGAAUGUGGAAAUUCGUGGUCUCUCUGAUCAAGUUUUGCUUCGACAUGCUACCACUAUUAACGUUGAUCGUCGUAAUGCUGGAAAUGGAGAGCUUCAAGUUGAAAUCACUGACCCGACCGGAUCUCCACUACGCACAGAAAUGCUCAAAUCUCCUGGUGGCGAAGACCGUAUUACUUUCUUGCCAAACCAAACUGGACCCCACAAGAUUAAUGUGAAGGUUGCUGGAUUCCAGAUCCCUGGAUAUCCACAAACAAUAUUGGUUAGCGAGCAAGAAAAACCAGCGGUUUAUGGUGCUGCUGUUGAUCAAUCGAUCAAGAUCGGAGAGCCGGCUUCUCUGAUUUUCGAUCCAAAAAAGACAAAUGGAGGACUCAAAAUUCACGCAACAGGUCCAGAUGGACAAAAAGUGCACCACAACGUAAUGCGUAGACCAAAUGGCACAUCAGAAGUUGUCUUCUAUCCUGAGGAAACUGGAACUUACAAUGUCAGCAUUGACUUCAAUAACCGUCCAAUCACCGGAAGCCCAUUCACCGUGAAUGUUGUCGACCCAACCAAGGUCAUUGUUAACGACCUAGACAUGGAUCGCGAUGGAACUCUUCUCCUCAGACUUGGUCACUCGAACUCAUUUGAUGUUGACGCGACGGCAGCCGGACCCGGCAAACUUCGCGCGGAAGUUCGAGACGCCGACAGUUCGCUGAUCGGCAAUGGCCCGGUUGUCGAGGACAUGGGACAGGGAAAAUACCGCGUUCGAUUUAAUCCAGAUCAACCCGGAAAGUACUCGAUUUACUUGUACUGGAACGAGUUGCCAGUUGAGAGCGCAUUCCCAGUGAGAGCCCGAUCGUCUGCCGAAGACUUGCCGACAACUUCUCGCGCUGUCAGAGAACCCAUCCCACCACCAGUUACAACAACUUAUCACACACGCGAAAAGUCGUCUGGUUCAAAUGCCGAUGACGAAAUUAGCAGAAUAAUGGUGAGAGGAGAUGGUCUUCACAGAGCUGUUCUCAAGGAGCACAAUGAAUUCAUCAUCGAUGGAAGUGAUAUCAACAAGGAGGGUCGUAUCACAGCAACACUUCUAGGAUCAAAAGCAGACAUUCCUGUGAGAAUUCAACAACUCGGACAUAAUGUCUACAAAGCUACUUACACUCCAUUGACUGGAGGCACCUAUGAACUUCAUAUUCUUUGGAAUGGAAAGCACGUUAAAGGAUCACCAUUUGCUGUUUCUGCAGACACAUCUGCUCAUUUGGCUGAUCUUAUUGACGUUGAUGCUUCGACUCUUAAAAUUGGAAUAAUCAAUGAGAACAUUAAGACAUUGAUUGAUACUCGUCGUGCUGGAUCCGGACAACUUUCAGCUUUAUGUAUGGGUCCGAAUAAGCCCGCUUACUGUGAACUGUAUGAUCACAGAGAUGGAACUUAUGCCCUCUGUGUCAGGCCAGCUGAGAUUGGAAAGCAUACAUUGGUUAUCAAAUACGACGAUGAGCACGUAAAAGGAAGUCCAUUCGUUGUUCACGUGUCUCUUCCACCAGAUCCGUCAAAAGUUCGCGUCUACGGGCCAGGAGUUGAACAUGGAAUUCUUUCUCUUUUCAAAUCCAAUUUCGUCGUGGAAACCCGAGGUGCUGGCGCUGGACAACUGACUGUUCGUGUCAGAGGACCAAAGGGAGCCUUCAAUGUGGAAAUGCAAAGAGAGAAGAAGAAUGAAAGAACGAUUCACUGCAAGUAUGAGCCAAAGGAACCAGGGGAUUAUCAGGUCGAAGUGAAAUGGCACGGAGAGCAUGUUCCAGGUAGUCCAUUCCUUGUCAUGAUCGUCGACACCGAGAAAGAACUCUCAAGAUACCUUCGCGGCGAGGCUCCGUCUCCAACACCAGCAACGCCAUUCAUUCCGCCAGGAUGGGUAGCUCCACCACAAAUGUACCCAAUGCAACCAGGACAGCAACGUUUCCUGCCACCACCAGGCCAUUUCGGACCAAUGGGUGUUCCAAGCCCAUAUGGAUCCGUUCCACCUCCGACCAAACAUAAAGGACGCAAUCAUUAA
rnacentral:misc_RNA from 1 species